UAUUCUGUCCCUCUAUGUUCAAUAGAAUUGUAUUAGUUCGCUAGUGCAUUUCUUUAUUUUCCCACUAGGGGUCAGUAUCUCUUUUAGUUGUUUUGGGGGUUCUUCUUCGAUUAUAUUUUGCAUUCACUAUGACUGCGCUCUGUUGGUGAUGUGUUGAGGCAGCAGGAAAAAAGUUUGUUACACGCAGUGUGAGAAAAUGUCCAGAGGUGUUGACAUGCUACACUCCUCUCAGACCCCUUACAUCUUUUGGAAGCUUUGACAUGCCAUAAUCUUUUUACAAAAUCAGAAAAGAGAGGUCUUUAGUAAAGGCACUAAGAAGAAAACUGUGUCCUGUCAUUCCUGGAGCCACACCU
ensembl:lncRNA